AACUGAUGUUAACGAUUUUGAAGCUGUAAGCGAGCAUGAGUCAAAGAUGGACAUUUCGCAAAUUAUAGAAUACAUAACCAACGAAACUGGAAAUUUAGAAAAAGACCUAACGUCCACAAAAUAUCCCCCUAUGGGGUAUGUUCUAUGCUAACGUCCAAUCAAGCCGCUAAAGAGACAUCCACUGGCAAACGCAAACUGUUUACAUGUCCACAAAGACGAGUAAAGAAAAAGGUACAGCCUUACUAGGUGAAAAAUCCGCUAUGGCCUGCACGGUUGCAGUUGAGACGGUAAUUGUUGAGCAUUACAAUGACCAGCUGAGAACUCUAUUGGAGGAUCCAGAAUGUAACUAAGAAUUAAUGGAAGUUAUUACAAAGUUUCGCAAUGAAGAACAAGAACAUCACGAUACAGAAAAUGUCUCGCUGGAUACAAAAAGAACCAUGUCGUUUCAACAAGAUGGAUGUCCUGCUUACUAUUCAAAAAAUGUACGCAACCAUUUAGAUAGAACUUUUCCCAACCGCUGGAUAAGAAGAGGGAAGAUUAAAAGAUAUACAUAGUAUACAAAACUGUCUCCACAACUCUGGCAAAUAUGAUAGGUCGUAUCACAGAUGCCAUCCAUAGCAUUCCACAAGCCGAAAUUGAAUGUGCUGUAUUUGGCACUAACCGCGGGAUAGAUAUGUGUGUGACGAAUGACGGAAAACAUUUUGAACAUUUAUUAACUUAUCGUUUAUUUUAGUGCUACAGCAUAGUGUUAUACAUGUGUAAACUUUUUUUU
rnacentral:lncRNA from 1 species